UGGCACUCAGGUCAUAGGGCUUAACUUCAUUUUAAAAAAGCAACAUCUCUGUGAACACAGUGCACAAAUUGCAAAGUAUUUUGUUGGUUUUUAGCUGACCUGUACAAUGAAGAAGAACAUGCAAAGAAGGCUGACAUCUCUAACUUAAAGAGAAAAUAUGAGAGGGUGAGAAGGAGGCGAAAAUCAGCGAGCUUUGAAGACUAACUUUAUGAACUCAAAUCAAGCAGGCAACACUUUCUUUGCUGAUAACAUUCAAACAUGAAGGAAGACUGAUUAUAUUUGCUACUUGAGUGGAAGAGCUUCUGCAGCACAAGUCAUUACUGAUGUGUCCCAUGCCAGAAAUAGCCUGUUUGAAGAGUAAGAAAAUGAGUGCUGGAAGUGGAGCUCUUUCUCCUGAUUCACUGUAUACAAAUGUUUUGUGUCUUCUGGAAGUGAUACUAUGAGUAUUCAUAGGCACAGGUCUUCAGGCUAUUGGUACAGAGCUCCCACUGCUUGCUAUACACUCCAUUAAAUCAGGCACUAGAACAAUUUCUGGCAGGAUGGAGAUUCUUUUCUAAAAGUACACACAUCAAACAUAAUAAUACAACUAUGAUUCAGGCACCUUUCUCCUCUCAGGUCUACUUGCCACAUGUCACUGGUGAACUCUGUCCCUU